rnacentral:lncRNA from 1 species
UUCAUCAAGUUUAGUUUUAUAGGCAUUAGCUCCUUCACCAAGAAACUCCUUUUCUAAAAAGGCUGCUGAAUUGCUGACAAACACCUUUUAUUCUGCAAUGAGGUACAAGUAGUACCCUUUAGUUUUUUUUGGAUACCCUAUGAAUAAGCAUCCAUCGAACUUCGGUCCAAGCUUAUCUAUCUUUAAACACUUGACAUAAGCUGGACAUCCUAAGACCCUA